rnacentral:rRNA from 1 species
GACGAACGCUGGCGGCGUGCUUAACACAUGCAAGUCGAACGGAAAGACCCUGCGUUUGUGGGGUUCUCGAGUGGCGAACGGGUGAGUAAAACGUGAGUAACCUGCCCUUGUCUUUGGGAUAACUUCAGGAAACUGGGGCGAAUACCCGAUAGGAGCUCCUGCUGCAUGGUGGGGGUUGGAAAGUUUCGGCGGUGGGGGAUGGACUCGCGGGUUAUCAGCUAGUUGGGGGGGUAGUGGCUUACCAGGGCUUUGACGGGUAGCCGGCAUGAGAGGGGGACCAGGCACAUUGGGCCUGAGGGAGGGCGCAGACGCGAAUGGGAGGCAGCGGGCGAGAGCAUUGCGCAGCGAGCGGGAGCGUGAGACGGCAGCGCUGGGUGCGUAAAGACGGCUUUCGGGUUGAGAACCGCUUUCGCCUGUGACGAGCUGGGCUUGACGGUAAUGGGUAAAGAAGCACCGGCUAACUACGUG